rnacentral:lncRNA from 1 species
CAGCAAUGAAGGCUGAACUUGAAGCUUUAUGCUUAAACAAAACAUGGAGCAUUGUGUCACUACCUUAUGGAGUGAAAGCGAUAGGAUGCAAAUGGGUAUACAGAAUAAAGUACAAAUCCGAUGGGAGCAUUGAAAGGUAUAAGGCAAGGUUGGUGGCAAAGGGCUACACCCAAACUGAAGGGCUUGAUUACCAAGAAACCUUUGCACCUGUAGUGAAAAUGACGACCAUCAGAACGUUCCUUGCCUUGGCCUCAAUAAAAAAGUGGCAUCUACACCAACUGGAUAUCAACAACGCCUUCUUACAUGGUGACUUAGAGGAGGAUGUGUAUAUGAAACUACCAAUGGGGAUGGAGCAGGGACUGCCUAAAAAUGCAGUCUGCAAACUACAUAAGUCGCUUUAUGGUCUGAAGCAAGCCUCGAGACAAUGGUUUUCCAAGUUGUCAGAGAAAUUACAAGCACAAGGUUUUGUUCAAAGCAAAGUCGACUACUCAUUAUUCAUCAAGAACAAAGAAGGAUCAUUCACAGCAGCAUUGGUGUACGUUGAUGAUCUUAUCAUUGGUGGAAAUGAUCCCAAGGAGAUCGUUGCAUUAAAGAUGUUCCUUCAUGAAGAGUUCAAAAUCAAAGACUUAGGUCAUUUGAAGUUCUUUCUGGGUUUGGAAGUUGGCAGGAAUCCAGAGGGAAUUCACUUGUCCCAACGCAAGUAUACCUUGGAAAUUUUGGAAGAGGCUGGAUUACUCAAUGCCAAACCAGCAAACACACCAAUGAAUUACAAACAGCAUCUUACUGCUGAGGGUUCGGAUGAUUACAAUGAGCCUGAGCAUUACAGAAGGUUAGUUGGGAAAUUAAUUUAUCUAACUACAACUAGGGCAGACAUUAGCUUUGCUGCACAACAGGUCAGCCAAUUUAUGACUAGUCCCAGAGUGGAUCAUUUCAAAGCAGUGACAAGAAUCCUGCGAUAUCUCAAGGGAGCCCCUGCUUCUGGUCUCUUCUUCCCAAGCACCUCCAGUAUUCAACUAAAGGCUUUCAGCGACUCAGACUGGGCAGCCUGUCCAGACAGCAGACGAUCAAUCACAGGUUACUCCAUUUUCCUUGGAACCUCCCUUAUAUCCUGGAAAAGUAAGAAACAAAGCACAGUGUCAAGAUCAUCCUGUGAAGCAGAAUAUAGAGCCUUAGCUCACACUACUUGUGAAUUGCAAUGGCUACUAUAUCUGCUAAAAGAUCUUGGAAUUGAUCAUCCUAUGCCAGCAUUGAUCUACUGCGACAAUCAAUCAGCAAUACACAUUGCAAAUAAUCCUACCUUCCAUGAACGAACCAAGCAUAUAGAGCUGGACUGUCACCUCAUACGUGAGAAGAUUCAAUGUGAUGCAGUGAAGCUGCUCCAUGUGCGCACUGACUUGCAGACAGCAGACAUCUUCACCAAAGCCCUGCGUCCUGCACCCUUCCGGUUUCUGCUGUCCAAGCUUGGAAUGCAGAACAUCUGCCCUCCAGCUUGUGGGGGGGUAUUAGGAAAAGGAAACUUUUCUUCUCCCUCAAUUUCCCGCCAAGACAAUACGCACCGCUUCACUAAUCUACUGAAACGAGGAAGAGCGUUGCUAGCUACACGACGCCGUUCCG